UCAAAGGCUCUUUUCAGAGCCACCCACUCCUUCAAAUAAAAAGAGU
rfam:Equus caballus chromosome 5, whole genome shotgun sequence.